UACGGGGGGAGCAAGCGUUGUUCGGAUUUACUGGGCGUAAAGGGCGCGUAGGCGGUCAGCACAAGUCAGUUGUGAAAUCUCCGGGCUUAACUCGGAAAGGUCAACUGAUACUGUGCGACUAGAGUGCAGAAGGGGCAACUGGAAUUCUCGGUGGAGCGGUGAAAUGCGUUGAUAUCAUCAGGAACACCGGAGGCGAAGGCGGCCCACUGGGUCUUUUCUGACGCUGAGGGACGAAAGCUAGGGGAGCGAACGGG
rnacentral:rRNA from 1 species